CCUAGGGGAAUCAGAGGCCCCAGAGUGGGAGGGUAAGCACAGGGCACAAGGAGGAAGGGAGUGAUUUCAAGUGAGCACCUAUGACCCACUCAUAUUUGGGAGGCUGAAAUGGGGUCAUCAGUUCAGUGGCCAGGCUCAGUUCCACGGUGGCUCUGGGAAACCCAAGAUGUCAAUCCUUUUGCCCUGUGAAGCCACUUGGAGUGAGUAGGCCAGUUGUGUGCUGUGAGCAGAAAGAUGGCAGGAGAUGCUUUUUUUUUUCCCCCCUGUGGGAGAUGAAUAGGAGCCCAAUUCCGGCCUUGGAUAUCUUCAAGGCACCAGGGCACAACCGAUUGCAUAUCAUUGGCUGUGCCUAGGAAUAACCAGAGGGAAGGGACCCAGCAGCCUGAUAUCUAGAACCUGGUUUGAGUGUAGCAUGCCGCGGGAAUCCCUACAAGUCAGGCGCCUGUGUAUGGGAUACACUUACUGAUCUAGACACAGGAGGACACUCAAUCCCUCCCUUAAUUCCCAGUCUUUACCGCGUAGUCUGCACAGUGCUUGGGCAAGGGGAAAGAAAGAGAGAGAUUAAAGAUAAAGUGAGCGGUUCGCGGUCUCUCAAGCGCUCACUUGGUUGCCCCAGCGAGACCACGACCUUAAACCCCUUCCCUCAAACUCUAACUCUGGUGGUCUGCGGUGGCUGCCGGGCACCCAAGACUUUGGGGGGAGGUCAGAGAGGCCAGGGAGAAAGGCCAGAGUGUGUGCAUCCAGGGAAGCAGGCCUAACGCUUCUGAGGGCAGAAGGGGCGCUCCCCUGUCCUCGCGGCGCAGAAGCCGUGAACGCCGAGGCCAUUGUAAGGCUGGGUGGUGCCGAGCGCGGGAAGGGGGCUGGGAUUUGAAUGGGAGCCCGUGAUAGGCCAGUUCCCGGACUGACGUCACUUCCCCGCGGGGCGAUUAGCCUGGGAGAGGAGGGCUGACGGUCCAGUGCGCUGGGGGCCGCCGGGGCGCCCGAGGCUGCCCAAGCGCAGCGCACCGGUGCCCCGAGUGCGCCCCGGGUUGCCGUCGAAGCGGGCCGCGGACGCACUGGACGGGGAACUGGGGGUGGAGAUGCCGCGAGGGCGAGGGAGGACGGGAGCUGGGCGACCCGGGUAGCGGGAGUCCGUGUGUCUGUGUGUCUGUCGGUCCCCUCUGGCUCUCCGCGUCCGCCCGAGGCUGCGGGAGAGGCGCCCGCUCAGGCCCCCGCGCCGGGUCGGCAGCGGCACGUGGGGCCCACAGCGCGGCAGCGGUGCCGGCGAAGGGAGGCCCGUUUCUCUCUUUGGUUAUCUAGCUGUAUGAGUGCCACAGAGCCGUCAUAAAGCUAGAUAACCGAAAGUAGAAAUGACUCUCACAACUUCUGCGUGCGAUCGCCCGCCCGGCCGCCCUGGCCACAGGAGCCAGAGGAGUCCAGAGAAGCCCACGCCACCCAGGGGACUCCAACUCGAUGGAGCGGCCGCGCCCGGACCAGGUCUCCUCUGGUCUGACUGCCCAAGUUUGGGCUACACUGUUCCAAUUUCCACUAACUAGUCUCUUUCUAAAGAAAAGGCUCGUGGGCCCUGGAAGUGCGGCUGAAAGCACAGUCGGAAGCCAGAAUUGGUUGGGAUCUCAAAGACGUCAACCCCUUUCAUUUUACAACUAGAAACACGGAACCUUUCGCAGAAGGUCGCACGGAGGCCACUUGGUAGGGCAGGGUUGCGGGCAGCCCUUGUUGAUGGUGAGGCUUCGAGGACUUCUUCCUUCCUGGUCCACGGAAUUUCAGCCCUGAACCACACCGGCCUCCUAUGGGCCUCAGCCCGGCCAAUGAAAAGCUGGCAUCAGCAGGCAUCACCGAAACGCAGGCUGCUGCGAGGCCAGAGGCCGGCUCGAGGCUGGUCCAGGAGUUCUCGCCCGACCGACCGCAGUCGGACCUCCCGGGAAAUGGGAACGGAGCACGAAGCAGCAGCGGGGCCAGGAGGCCUCCCAGGACCCGGCGCGACGCUGAAAAGCAUGAAGGGUCGGAAUUAGGCCCUCAUUUAGCGAGCGUUACUAAUCCGAAGUUACAGCGCUAAUUCCCUGAUCCCGCCGCUCCCACACGCAGCGCCGGGAUUAGAGGCGAGGCCGCCGCCCGCCCCGCCCUCGCCCCCAACGCGCAGCCCCGCGCCCCGGGGUCCGCGGAUCCCGCUAAGCCACGGACAGCGCCUGGCCGGCCAGACCGUGCAGACCGGCCUGCCGAGGGAGCUGGGCGGGGAGCGCUCGGCCAGGAUCCCCAGGACGACAGCCUUGCCCGGACUGAUGCACCCUCCAGGGCCCCGGAGAAGCAACGCUGCCGGCCGCCGAGCGUUCUCCCACCCGAGCGAGCGUUCUCCCACCCGGGUGUCCGCACCCAGAGCAGCGGCCCUUCGGAGGCUGCGGCGCCAUUUUAAUCGCCUUCUCUUCCACCCUUGGCUUCUCACACGCGUGGGGUGGGGUGUCCCUGUCCCCUAUUUCACCCAGACUGGAGCCUACCCUACCUUCCUCCACCCUGGCUUAAAUGACCAAUCAGCUCUGGCCUAGGGUGGGAUGCGCGUUACCAUGGCGACAGCCAGAACCCCCUAGUAGUGCUACCCUACACAGAGGUUGCUCCACGGCAGGUCCUCCAGCUUCCUGCACUUCCUACCUGGGCUCUGCGUCUCCUUGGCUGGCACCUAUUCGCUCUCCCCCGCAACGAAGGAGGGCGUGCCACCGCCACGGGAGAGGUGAGUGGCCACAGCCAGGGAAGGAGGACGCGGGGUGUCUCCAAAACGGGUCGGGCGACCAGGAGCGUUGGAAGAUCCCAGGAUCCCGUUGGACACGCUCCCGGGUCAGAAGAAGAGAAGAGACAGCUUGGUGAUGACUAAGAAGAUGGGUUCUCUUCCAGCGCAGGCCAUGGGCCCUGCAUAGACAUUCAAAGCUCUCUCCAGCAGCGGCGCCUUCUCGGUGUGGACUGUGGCUGUAGAUGGAAGGUCCGGGUAGAAUCCACUCUCAGGUCACUCUUGUCACUAUGUUUCCUUCAUUGGGACCAAAGCAGCCUAGUUUGAGGGAGACACUGAAAUGGGGAAGCCAGUGAGGGACGUACACUUCCGGUUCUGGCUACUCAGGAGGCUGAGGCAGGAAGAAUGCUUGAGCCAGGAGUUCAAUGUCCGUUUGAACAACUAAUGAGGCCCUGUCUCAAAAUACAAUAAAGUUAAGUAAAUAAACAAAUGGAAUGUUCCCUUCUCGUGGGGCCAGUUGCUUGCUAGGUUGACCCAUAUACAAUUUCUUCAUUGUUAAAUCAACAACUGUUAACUGUUCAUGUGGUUCAAGCUAACACAUUUCCAUCAUGGGAUGGUACAUAUCAACUAUUUAUGUUCCUCUUCAUCCUACAACACCCCUUCAGCAUUAUUUUAACAGCAAGAAACUGGAGCCUGAGAUUAUGCUGAAAGGAAAACGAGGCCAGCAAAGCUCCACUUGCUCCAACUUCAGGAUCUGUUUGUUGUCUUGAGAUAAGGACAAUCAAGAUGACUUUUGAAGCCCAGAUGAUGGUUUAUGCCGUUAACCCUGGUACUUGGGAGACGGAGGCAGGAAGAUCAGAAGUUCAAGGUCAGCCAGGCUACAUGAGCUCCUGCCUCAGAAAACAAACGAGAGGAAAGGAAAGACAGAAUGGCUUUGGCUAUCCUUUCUUUCAUCAUUAAUAAAAGCAGAAAAGUCUCUGAGAUAGCCUAGCCAGCCCUGACUGAGGGCUGGACCAGUUACAGACUUUCCUGACUCAGGAGUCCUUCGCUUCCAUCUGGACGGUGAAAUUGUAUUUUACUUCUCCGUCGCAGGAGCCUGAGGUGCUGCUGUAGAGGAAGGGGGUGCUGGAGUGCUGUUGCAGCCACACCAUACACCAUAACCUUUCUGCCACCCCAUGGCCGGAGCUCCUGACUGAAUGCACAUCCGUCCCGCACUCAUUACACCCUUGUCAGGGUGUGUCUGUGGCCGCCUCUGGGUGUGUGUGUUUCUUUUUGUAUCUUCGUGUCAGUUGUCAGGCUGUGUGUGUCUAUUUAUGUCGGCCUGUCUAGGCGUGCUCAGUGCAACAGGGAGCUGGGGGUGGUGUUGGUAAAAGGAAGACAUUUCAAAGCCUCAGCUCUCCCCCUCAGGGACAUCAGGAUGCUGGUAGAUAUGUACUUGCGCAUAUAUAGAUAGAUGGAGAGCUUUCUCUCAUCUCGCUCAUUGCAUGGAGAUGCAUUCAAGUGUCUAGCCAGGUAUGGCCUGAGCAGUGGCCUGGGCUGGGGGAGCCCAUCUGCCAAGAGCUUACAGAGUUGCCUCCCGCCCUCCAUGUCCGUGGGGAGCCUGUCCCUUCACAGUUUACCAUCUACUCUCUAAUUUAUUAGAUGGGAAGGAGGAGAAAAUGAAAUGUUGCCCGAAGACAAUGGCCGAGACAGCCUGUCCCACCCUGCACAGCCGCCAGGGCCUCCUUCCCCAGCCUGGUCUCCUCUGCCUUCCCUCUGCUGAAGCUGAGGGUUCAAGGUGGCCUAGUAAAGAAACAAGGUCACUAGAAGACCAGCCCCACUCACCUGGAAGUCAGAGGCUCCUCACCCUCCAGCUCACCAUCCUGUUUAGUGCACUGGGCAAGCCUCUUUCCUCUCCUGGCCUGGAAAAGGAACACUGGAUAUGGCUGUGUCUGCAGCCACUCAGCCCCUACAUUUUACACUGGGAAUUCUUAUUUUUUCUGCUUUGUUACCUGCAAGUCACCCUACCUCCUGCUCCCUGAAUUUCAGGCAACUCAGCCUUUUCUCCUUCAAGCUGCCCUGGGACACAGGUAGAUUCCUCUACUAAAGCCUACGAAGAAAGAAAGAAACAAACAAAAAACCCAGAAGCUUGUCCCGUUGCUGACCUUUAGCAUUGAACUGGAAAGUGGCCUGUCCUGGAGCAAAGGCCUGGGCCAGACAGUGUAUGUCUUGGCUAGGUGUACUUCCAGCCUGAGUCAGAUGCUUUGCCUUCUCCUCUGGUUUCAGAUGUUCUGAACAGUGCCCUGGUGGCUUCAGGAAGGUUUGUCAUAUAUUUGGGACCUUCCCUGGGCCAGAGCCCCUUAGACUCCACGAAGGCACCACUUCUUAACAUCUGGUUUCUCUCCCUGACUUCUCCAGCCAGAUGAUUCCACUACAGGUACAGCGGAAACAAGUGUGGCUGUGAAGUCUACAGGGUGCGAACCCAAUAUCCGUGUGUGACCAGGGUGACCCUGGGCCAGUGCAUAGCACUGUUUCCACAUUUCUAAAAUAAGAAACAGGGUGGAGAUAGGCUUCAGUGGUAGAGAGCUUUCUUUAAUGCCUUUUUUUUUUUUUUUUCCCUCGAGACAGGGUUUCUCUGUGUAGCUUUGCACCUUUCGUGGAACUCACUUGGUAGCCCAGGCUGGCCUCGAACUCACAGAGAUCCGCCUGCCUCUGCCUCCUGAGUGCUGGGAUUAAAGGCGUGCGCCACCACUGCCCGGCAAGGUAGAGAGCUUUCCAAGCAUGCUCAAGACCUUCAGAUGUAUCCUUAGGCUCAAAAUAUAACAAUAAUAAUAACCAUACCUUUCACAUAAACAUACACAAAGACAUAUAAAUAAUAUAGAAAAAAAUACUUUGGAAGAGUAAGUUCCAUCUCUUUUAUCUCCUAAGUUCUCAGAGACCCCAAAGACCAUGGUCAUAAAUGAGUCCUUUUCCAGCUCCGGAACUUCCCUGCUGGGGAGAUCCUGACAUAACCUUGGAAGACCCUCUCUCCUCCCCAUUAUCCCCUUCCCAGCCCCCAUAAUACCUGAAUGGGAUCACAGGACACCUGCCUCCCCGAGUGCAAGCUGCUCAUAGACUGUUCUCUUGUCUUCAGAUGGCCCUGUGAAGGGCAGUGAUGGGACAGGCAGUUCAGCUUUUAUGGGAACAGAGAAGUGGUAACUCCUGCCAGGGUCACAGGCCCAACACAGAGCCUACAGAGCCGAGCUGCUUCAGACACAGCAGAGUGCAGCAGGAAAGGAAAAUUCAGAACCACCUGAGGCUGUUGUACAGGGAGCCCCUGCCACCAGGGACUCAGCAGGAGCCCUGCUAGAGGGCCUUUGUCAUCAGCCUGCUGGCCUAGCAUCUCCUCCGUGCCUGCCCACGCCACACCUUUCAGGACUGUUCUGGGUCUGAUGUGCCGUGGGGACACUCUGUCCAGGCACUUGGGAAAUGGAAGCUUCAUGACUGGCAUUUCCACCCCCAAAGAACCCGGCAGCACAUUGGGAAGUUGCCAGAGGAAGGGACUGCAGCCUCCCAGGAGUUAAAGAUGCUUCUCCUCCCCAGCUGUCCUCCUCUUGGUGCUCCUCUCCCUCCCUCCUCCCGCUCACAGCAGGCAGGGCCUGGAACCAGGAGCCAUGCUGCUGUGCUGUUGCCAGGGGAGCUGGGAGGCAGAUCGGAGCUAUGCAGGGAAAAGGCUCAGCCUGUCAAAGUGUCUCAGAUGAACCACGCCAUCCUGUGCAGCUGGGCUCAGAUGUGUCUCGGCUCUUGUUCUGGGCCUGAGAACGGGGAAGCCCAGUGAGGUUCAAGGGCACCCUCGCUAUUCAUUAGUCAGGGGUUCUUGACGUCCUGUCUCUCCCAGGCAUGGGUUCCCCCCUUCCUCUUUCUCUCCCUCCUGUGACACAUUCCUGGGUGCCUGUGGUGAGGACUGCACACCCACCCCCUCCUGCACAGCCAGCCCCCUCCACACAAACCCUGAAUCAACUCCUGUUAAGGAGACCGGGGCGGGACAGAGACAAUGGCUUCAAGAAAGCAUUCAGGCGGGACCCCAGCCACACUCGACUGCCCUCCGCUCCCAGUGCUCCUAUCAUCCGACUCCGCUGGGACGCAGGGCACCCUUGGGCCCCCAGCUUGCACAAGCCUGAACAGAAGCAGGCCACUAGGUGCUGCUCUACACUACAGGCCAGUGCAGGGCUAUUCUCGGGGGGACCCCUUGGUGCCUCUGUCCCACUGGUUAGAUGUUUGUGUGCAGUUUGUUGGAGAGUAGAAACUACAACACUUUCUGAAAUGUUGCAAUGUCAAAAUGUAAAAGGCACAUAUACUUGGUUACUAAUUUCAUGACUAGAAAUUUCCUCCAGAUACACUGGAAACGUUUGCUAAGAAGAACUGUGGUUCACUAACGGGUCAUUUAAUACUGUGGGACACCACACAGCUGUAAAAGUGUGGUAGAUCUUUGCUUGCAGGCUGAUAGGAAGGCUGACUAAUAUACUUAAGUGAGUAGAACAAAUUACAGAACGUUCAAGUAUGUUCUUGUUUGUAUACAUUUAACAGUCAGUCAUGGAGUCCGAGGUAUGUGAAGCUCAGUGAUAAAAUACAUACAACACACAAGAAGCCUAGAGUCAAAUAAAAUGUAUCGGCCAUUAA